rnacentral:rRNA from 1 species
AUACAGAGGGUGCGAGCGUUAAUCGGAAUUACUGGGCGUAAAGCGCGCGUAGGCGGCUACUUAAGUCAGAUGUGAAAUCCCCGGGCUCAACCUGGGAACUGCAUCUGAUACUGGGUAGCUAGAGUUUAGGAGAGGGAAGUAGAAUUUCAGGUGUAGCGGUGAAAUGCAUAGAGAUCUGAAGGAAUACCAGUGGCGAAGGCGGCUUCCUGGCCUAAAACUGACGCUGAGGUGCGAAAGCGUGGGUAGCAAACGGAAUUAGAAACCCCGGUAGUCC